UACGUAGGGUGCAAGCGUUGUCCGGAAUUAUUGGGCGUAAAGAGCUCGUAGGCGGUUUGUCGCGUCUGCUGUGAAAACUCGGGGCUUAACCCCGGGCCUGCAGUGGGUACGGGCAGACUAGAGUGCGGUAGGGGAGACUGGAAUUCCUGGUGUAGCGGUGAAAUGCGCAGAUAUCUGGAGGAACACCGGUGGCGAAGGCGGCAUCCUGGACCGAUACUGACGCUGAGGAGCGAAAGCCAGGGGAGCAAACGGG
rnacentral:rRNA from 1 species